rnacentral:rRNA from 1 species
UACGAAGGUGGCAAGCGUUGUUCGGAUUUACUGGGCGUACAGGGAGCGUAGGCGGUUGGAUAAGCCCUCCGUGAAAUCUCCAGGCUUAACCUGGAAAGUGCAGAGGGGACUGUUCAGCUAGAGGAUGGGAGAGGAGCGCGGAAUUCCCGGUGUAGCGGUGAAAUGCGUAGAAGAGGCGGAGGAAGGCCGGUGGCGAAGGCGGGCGCUCUGGACAGUUCCUGACACUGAGACACGAAGGCCAGGGGAGCAAACGGG